rnacentral:misc_RNA from 1 species
UCUCCGUAGGUGAACCUGCGGAGGGAUCAUUACAGAGUUCUCGCCCUCACGGGUAGAUCUCCCACCCACUGUUAUCGUUACUGUCGUUUCUUUGGCGGGCCGCCGGGUCCCCGGCCGCCGGCGCCUAGCUGCCGGCGCGCGCCCGCCAGAGGCCUUCAAACUCUGAAUGUUAGUGUCGUCUGAGUACUAUAUAAUAGUUAAAACUUUCAACAACGGAUCUCUUGGUUCUG